CGGACUGCAGUCUGCAACUCGACUGCACGAAGCUGGAAUCGCUAGUAAUCGCGGAUCAGAAUGCCGCGGUGAAUACGUUCCCGGGUCUUGUACACACCGCCCGUCACACCAUGGGAGUCAGUAACGCCCGAAGUCAGUGACCUAACCGAAAGGGAGGAGCUGCCGAAGGCGGGACGGAUGACUGGGGUGAAGUCGUAACAAGGUAAC
rnacentral:rRNA from 1 species